AUUGAACGCUGGCGGCAUGCUUUACACAUGCAAGUCGAACGGCAGCGCGGGGGCAACCCUGGCGGCGAGUGGCGAACGGGUGAGUAAUGUAUCGGAACGUAUCCUGUAAUGGGGGAUAACCAGUCGAAAGAUUGGGUAAUACCGCAUACGCACGAGAGUGGAAAGUAGGGGAUCGCAAGACCUUACGUUAUAGGAGCGGCCGAUAUCUGAUUAGCUAGUUGGUGGGGUAAAGGCCUACCAAGGCGACGAUCAGUAGCUGGUCUGAGAGGACGACCAGCCACACUGGGACUGAGACACGGCCCAGACUCCUACGGGAGGCAGCAGUGGGGAAUUUUGGACAAUGGGCGAAAGCCUGAUCCAGCCAUGCCGCGUGCAGGAAGAAGGCCUUCGGGUUGUAAACUGCUUUAGUCUAGGAAAAGGGGUAGCGAGGUUAAUACCCUCGUGCUUUGAUGGUACUGGAAGAAUAAGCACCGGCUAACUACGUGUCCAGCAGCCGCGGUAAAGUACUA
rnacentral:rRNA from 1 species